CAGCCACAUCAUAUUGAAACAUGAGUUCCUGUACAAUCACUGUUGUUAAGCAAUGUCAAGCCUGGUUAGUACCUAGAUGGGUGACUGCUUGGGAAUACCAGGUGCUGUAAG